AGCACGCUCCUUAGAUCCAUCUCUGCUUUUUACUAGGAGAUGCUUGAGUCAUUAGUGUGCUAAAUUAUGUAAUACCUUCCUUCUGAUCUUCUUAAACAGUGUUAUAAAUUAGCUAUAAUGCUAUAUUUAUAUAAAUAAUUGCUUGAGUGAUCAGUAGGUGGACACA